rnacentral:rRNA from 1 species
UACGUAGGGUGCAAGCGUUAAUCGGAAUUACUGGGCGUAAAGCGUGCGCAGGCGGUGAUGUAAGACAGAUGUGAAAUCCCCGGGCUCAACCUGGGAACUGCAUUUGUGACUGCAUCGCUGGAGUACGGCAGAGGGGGAUGGAAUUCCGCGUGUAGCAGUGAAAUGCGUAGAUAUGCGGAGGAACACCGAUGGCGAAGGCAAUCCCCUGGCCUGUACUGACGCUCAUGCACGAAAGCGUGGGAG